ACGCCUCUAAGUCAGAAUCCGUGCUAGAAACGAUGAUGUUGGUCCCGCACAUACGAGUUGUGUUUAAAUAGAGCUUUGCUCGCGAACCAAAUCUGGUCGGCUGGGCCAAUCGAGCGGAAAUGCUUGGUUGGUUUGUCGGCGAAUUGCAAUCAUCAUAUGGGCGGGGGUGAAUCCUUUGCAGACGACUUGAAUGGGAACGGGGUACUGUAAGCAGUAGAGUAGCCUUGUUGCUACGAUCUGCUGAGGUUAAGCCCUUGUUCUAUAGAUUUGU
rnacentral:rRNA from 1 species